GGUAGCAGCGGAAGCGGGGAGCAAGUUCUCUGCCUCGCUUGGUGUUGAUGUAGGGUGCGAACGUAGCGGCCGCUAAAAGGACAGUUGUCCCCUUGGACGCAGAGAUGACGAGUGACAACCUCAAGGCGCAGCGGGCCGCCCUGUGGUCGCGUCGAUUCGCUCUGCUAUACGCGAUGGGAGUGUGGACGGUUAUUGGGUAUUUCGUUUCCCGGUCAGUGCGUUUCAGGGAGAUCCCACUGCAGGAGAAGAAGGAUCUGCCGCCGCCACCACCGCCACUCGAUGACAACGAAUAUUCCAGAAAUGUUUGACAAGAGCAGAAGAUCAAGACUGAAACUGGAUUCACAUUAACAGCAAAAACUAGUUCAUCUGUUUUUGUGCCAUAUUCUUCUCAUUUGCAUAAUCAAAUGCUGUCACUUUUUUAUAAUAAUACUGGGAAAGAAAAGUAAAUUAUAUUGAAAAAAAGAGAUUAUCACAGUGUCUAUAACUUAUUGAAGAGUUGCAUGAGAUCUGACUUUGAAAUAACAGUAAUUUGAAAAUAGUAUGUUCUGUCAGCCUAUUAUGAGACUUUAGCCCUGUUUCACCUUCAUGCAUUUGAAUAUAUUGUAUAUAAUUUUAUAUAUUUUCUUUUGCUUAUAAUUUAUUUUUAAUAUCUUUUCCUGAAAUUCUGCUAGCAUGUGUUUGAAAUCAUAAAGACUAAAUAUGAUUGAUUCCUUAUUUCCUCUUACAGAAACUAUAAAUAUUUUUCCCAUAGAGCUUAGUGUUUAUGAUAGCUAUCUUUGUUUUCAAGGAUAGACAAUUUCUGUAGCAUUUACCUCUGAUGUUGAAAUUGGGAAAAGAUGUUAGUUUCUGAAUAUAGUAGAAGUAACUUUUGAUCUUGCAGGUUUGAAAUCCUCCCGAUUGCCAGAUACACUUCAGGCUACACAUUGCUGAUUUCAUGACAAGGAAUACAUUUAACUUUUUUGAAGAAGAGUUUUAAAAGGUGUACAGUAUGUGAUAUUUUGGACUGUUUUUUUAAAACUAUGGUGGCAUAUUCCUUACCAUACAGAGUUUCGGGAAGGCUUGUUUUCUUCACCCCUACCUAUUUCAUUUUUCCACAUACUUGUAAUGCAGACAUGUCAAACUCGUGACGUCAUGUGACGUCGCGCAACGAAUUGGGACAGUUUUGCCAUUGCCGGCAAUGGGGUGGUCGCAGUUUCCACAUGACACAUCUGGCCUGCAGGCUGGCAGUUUGACACCCCUGUUGUAAUGGAACAUUUUAUAAAUGUUUUGUUUCUGAGUCUGAAUAAGACAAAGUGUAGUUCAACAAUGUUACAUAGGAAAUGUAGUUAAGAUACUCCACCUUAAUAUUUUGCACAAAGUCAUCUCUAACUGGUUUAGUAUGCUUAUACAAUGCACAAGGUGAUGUGAAGGUUAAUAUGUAAAAGCAUAAGAAAAAGCUGAAGCAAAUAUAUCUGGAAAAACUCUGAAGUUUGCCUAAUCAUGAUAGGUUUAUGAGUUCUAUUGCUACUCUGUGCCUUUGAGCAUUUGCUUGAUUGUUUGAUGGAAGCUGGCAUUUUUAGAAUUUGCAAACAACCUCAAGAUAAUGGUAUUCAAUGUAUUUUGGACCUCAAACAUUUUGUUUUAAACAAUGAUACAAGCAAAAUAGAAAUGUGAAACUGA